rnacentral:rRNA from 1 species
AGUGAACGCUGGCGGCGUGCCUAAUACAUGCAAGUCGAACGGAGUGGCGCACGGGUGAGUAAUAUAUAGCUAAUCUGCCCCUUGCUGGAGGACAACAGAUAGAAAUGUAUGCUAAUACUCCAUAGCAAGGGAUGAGACUAUAUCGUAUCAGCUAGUCGGUGGGGUAACGGCCUACCGAGGGGAUGACGCGUAACUGGUCUGAGAGGAUGAUCAGUCACAUUGGACGUGAGACACCGUUCAGACACCUACGGGAAGGAGCGGUAGGGUAUACUGCGCAAUGCGGGAAACCGUGACGCGGCAUCGCGGCGUGAAGGAUGACACUUUGCGGAGAUUAAACUCCUUUUGUUAGGGAAGCGGUACCUAACGAAUAAGCACCGGCUAACUCCGUGCCAGCAGCCGCGGUAAUAC